GACGAACGCUGGCGGCGUGCCUAAUACAUGCAAGUUGAGCGCUGAAGGUUGGUACUUGUACCAACUGGAUGAGCAGCGAACGGGUGAGUAACGCGUGGGGAAUCUGCCUUUGAGCGGGGGACAACAUUUGGAAACGAAUGCUAAUACCGCAUAAAAACUUUAAACACAAGUUUUAAGUUUGAAAGAUGCAAUUGCAUCACUCAAAGAUGAUCCCGCGUUGUAUUAGCUAGUUAGUGAGGUAAAGGCUCACCAAGGCGAUGAUACAUAGCCGACCUGAGAGGGUGAUCGGCCACAUUGGGACUGAGACACGGCCCAAACUCCUACGGGAGGCAGCAGUAGGGAAUCUUCGGCAAUGGACGAAAGUCUGACCGAGCAACGCCGCGUGAGUGAAGAAGGUUUUCGGAUCGUAAAACUCUGUUGGUAGAGAAGAACGUUGGUGAGAGUGGAAAGCUCAUCAAGUGACGGUAACUACCCAGAAAGGGACGGCUAACUACGUG
rnacentral:rRNA from 1 species